ensembl:snRNA U6 U6 spliceosomal RNA
GUGCUAGCUUUGGCAGCACAUGUACUAAAAUUGGAACAAUACAAUGAAGAUCGGCAUGGCCUCUGCACAAGGAUGACAAGCAAAUUUGUGAAGUGUUCCAUAUGUUU